GCAUAUCAAUAAGCGGAGGAAAAGAGACUAACGAGGAUUCCCCUAGUAACUGCGAGUGAAGCGGGAAAAGCUCAAAUUUGAAAUCUGGCGGUUACGCCGUCCGAGUUGUAUUCUGGAGAAGUGCCUUCCGUGCCGGACCGUGUACAAGUGCCUUGGAACAGGCCGUCAUAGAGGGUGAGAAUCCCGUCUUUGACACGGACCCCCGGUGCUCUGCGAUGCGCUCUCGAAGAGUCGAGUUGUUUGGGAAUGCAGCUCAAAACGGGUGGUAAAUUCCAUCUAAAGCUAAAUAUUGGCGAGAGACCGAUAGCGAACAAGUACCGUGAGGGAAAGAUGAAAAGCACUUUGGAAAGAGAGUAAAACAGUACGUGAAAUUGUUGAAAGGGAAACGCUUGAAGUCAGUCGCGUCUGCCGGAACUCAGCCUUGCUUCUGCUUGGUGCACUUUCCGGUCCGACGGGCCAGCAUCGGUUUCGCGAGGCGGACACUGGCGGGGGGAAGGUGGCGGCUCUGGCCGUGUUAUAGCCCUCUGUCGCGAACGUCUCGUGGGACCGAGGAAUCCGGCGCAAGCCUGGGAUGCUGGCGUAAUGGCUUUAAACGACCCGUCUUGAAACACGGACCAAGGAGUGCUACGUGCUCGCGAGUGUUUGGGUGGAAAACCCGGACGCGCAAUGAAAGUGAAAGUCGAUACCCUUUUGCCGGGGGCACCGACGCCCGAGCCUGAUGUUUUCGGAAGGCCUUGCGGUAGAGCGAGUGCGUUGCGACCCGAAAGAUGGUGAACUAUUCCUGAGGAGGGCGAAGCCAGAGGAAACUCUGGUGGAGGCUCGUAGCGGUUCUGACGUGCAAAUCGAUCGCAGGACUUGGGUAUAGGGGCGAAAGACUAAUCGAACCAUCUAGUAGCUGGUUCCUGCCGAAGUUUCCCUCAGGAUAGC
rnacentral:rRNA from 1 species